rnacentral:rRNA from 1 species
AGAGUUUGAUCCUGGCUCAGAAUCAACGCUGGCGGCGUGCCUCAGACAUGCAAGUCGAACGAUUAAAGCUUUCCUUCGGGAAAGAUAUAAAGUGGCGCACGGGUGAGUAACACGUAAGUAAUCUACCUUCGGAUGGGGAAUAACAGUCGGAAACGACUGCUAAUACCGCAUAAUGCAGCGGCACCUAAUGGUGACAGUUGUUAAAGUAUUUAUACGUCUGAAGAGGAGCUUGCGGCAGAUUAGCUAGUUGGUAAGGUAAUGGCUUACCAAGGCAACGAUCUGUAGCCGACCUGAGAGGGUGGUCGGUCACACUGACACUGAAUAACGGGUCAGACUCCUACGGGAGGCAGCAGUCGGGAAUUUUGGGCAAUGGGCGAAAGCCUGACCCAGCAACGCCGCGUGAAGGAUGAAGUCUUUCGGGAUGUAAACUUCGUAAAAAUAGGAAGAAUAAAUGACGGUACUAUUUGUAAGGUCCGGCUAACUACGUGCCAGCAGCCGCGGUAAUACGUAGGGACCAAGCGUUGUUCGGAUUUACUGGGCGUAAAGGGCGCGUAGGCGGCGUAACAAGUCACUUGUGAAAUCUCCGGGCUUAACUCGGAACGGUCAAGUGAUACUGUUAUGCUAGAGUACAGAAAGGGUAAUCGGAAUUCUUGGUGUAGCGGUGAAAUGCGUAGAUAUCAAGAGGAACACCAGAGGCGAAGGCGG